CUGAGCAGCUGGUAGUGGGCUGGCGAGGGCCACUGCGAGGGGGUAGGAGACGGGCUGCAGGGCAGGGUGCUCCCCACGGACCCUCAGCCAGCCCCCCUUUGGCCCCACUGGAACCCCCAGCCCCCUGCCUGCGUGGACUCCCCGCCCCCUUCCUGCCCAGCCCCCAACCUUUUGCUCUUGGUCGAAGUCAGCUUUCUGCGUGAAGGGGCUUUCGCUCUGGAACCACAAAGUCUGCCAUGCCCUGCGGCCACCGCCCUCUGUAGUUGGAGGAUGGAGAGAGAGAAGGCUGGGAGCCCCACCCAGGUGACCAUGGGUCCAGUGUUUGCCUCCAUUGAUGUAAAAAUUUGCCAGGAAUUUCACUGCCUUCUGGUCAGAAUUCAUCAUCAGAGUCUCCUGGCUCUCUUCCCCAACGGCACCACGGAGCUCUGUGACCUCACUGGUAGGCCCCUCUGUUGCUGGGACUCCUGAGGAAGACACAUUGUCUGGCCCUGGAGGGGCUGCCCCGGGCCCCGACCCCUGGUGGGCCCCUCCCCCACUAACUAGAUGAUCAGCGGGUCCGCCUGGGCCAGGACCCCCAGCCUGCCCCGGUGACUCCUGGCCCAGCCCUCUCCCUCCCCGCAACCUUUCCAGCCUUCUCCCCUCUCCUGCACCCUGGGGUCUCCUGGGAGUCUGGGGUCCACUCUAGCAGGUCUGGGAGGACUGAGGCCUCAGCAGAGGGGGUGGAGGGAACAGGACCCACCGGCAUCCACCAAGCCCUAGGAGAUGCCCAGCUGUGUCUGGCCAGCCAGGACCCCCUGGGGGUAGGAGGGAGGGGCCCAGGAAGGCUCCCUGGAGGAAGAGGAGGAGCCGCCACCCCAUCUGGAUUUCCACUUAAGGGAAAAGCAAAUCCACAUCAGAUGGGUCUGACACCAGAGGCAGGCCGGGCCUUGGAGCCCAGCCAGGGCUGGGGUGUGAGGGCCUACCUCUCACCUGGGGGCACAGAGGCUAGAGGGUGUCACAGAUGGCCGGGCUGCCAGAGCUGCAAAGGAACAGCCAGCCUGUGUGAGCAAGAGCCCGUGUGGGCACCAGGGCCCUCACUGUGUGGUCUCUGGAGCUGACCACCAGUUGGUCCCAGCCCUGACCUUGGCCCAGAAUCCACCAGGGCAGGGCCUGUGAACAGGGCCAACUUGGGGCCCUCCUCCGCCCUCUCUGGAUGCCUCCCCUUCAGCACUGGGCCUGCCAGGCAGACAGAUGGACACGUGCUUGAGGAAACACGGGUUUUAUCUGGGCGAGGGGUUCACGCCUGUGCUCCGGGGCCCCUGCCCAGGUUGUGCCGGGUUCAGAGUUGACUGGCUGCCAGUGGAACAGAGUGUACUUUGCUAAUGAAGCCCUUGUCAUUGGACAGAUAGGCUCCUCCAGGUCCUCCCUGCCCUGUAAUAAACGUUGCCACCGUGAAUGGUGCUGCUGGACAUCCAUCCUCUCCUUGAGAAGGUGCGUGGGGGAAAUGCUCUCUCAGUGUCCGGCUCUGCGCCCACACCACCACAGCCGUCACAGAAGGAGGCCUCUGCCCAAAUGUUGAGGGAGGGGGGUUGUUCCCCACACACCAAGCUGGGUGUCCUCUAAUUCAUUUCCUUCACCAUUUACCUGGAGAUGGUGUCAGAUCCCACAGGGUGAGAGCUCCAUCCCAAGAAGGCCUCCAGACACAGAUAGGGGCAGGGCCUCCAGACACACACCAGUCGCAAGCCUGGGCCCCUGGAACUUCUGACCAACUAGCUUC
rnacentral:lncRNA from 10 species